ACUGUACCUUGAGCAGCACCUGCUGGCAGCUUCCAGGGAUCACGCCGGAACGCGGCCGCUGCUCGAGCCCAGCUCGCAGGAUGCCUGGAGCCAGGGCCAAGCCGGUCUAAGCGGCAGCCUCUAUUUUUACCCUGAGCACCAGCAAGGGCAACUUCUUUUAAGAGCAGCUCUUGAUUUUUUCCCCCCUUUUGGCAGCUAAAGAAUUCAGGGAGGGGAAAAAAAUCACUGUUCAGUGAGUGCAGCUGGGAAUCUCUGAACCCAGCCCUCAGUGCCAGGGAGUGAAACCACAGCAAAUGUCAGGGAGCGGGACCUGCGGAGGGGCCGGCUGGCUCCCCGCGGACAGAGGCGAGCCGGGAGCGCUCGCGCACCAGCCAACUGCCCCCUUCUGAGUGCGGAGCGCGGUCCUCCAGCGACUGCACUAGCAAAGUGGCCCGCUGCCACCGCGUUAUUCACCUAGUGGAGGCGGCCUGAUUUACUGGCGACUUCACAAACCCAACUCCACGCUGGAGCAUUUGCAUGGCUCUGUUCUCGCCUCGAGGAGCAGCCACUAGCGAACCCGGUGGAGCAGCUUGCUGCGAGAAGGAGCCGGGAGGGAAACUGUGGUACCUUAUUUUACUGUAAUUGCAAAAGGAACGAUGUGCCAGAGAUUUAUAUUUAGAAGUUGUAUGUUUCUACUUUUAUGUAAAUGGAGCAAUUAGGGCCUGUCUUGCUGCUGCUAACUCCAAUGCGUGUGCAUUGCUGGGGAGCUGGUGUUUUCAAUCACAAUUAGUGAGCUGGUCAAAAAACAAAGUUCGUUUAAGGAUAAGAGCUCAAUUGUGCGAAUGGGGGAGAGGCCAGCGUUCGUGUGCUGGCCCGUGGCUUACGGUGACACCUAGCUUAGGGCCACGGCCAACCCUAUAGUGGUGUUUACCUGUGGCAGCAGCUGUCCCUGUUCAAAGUUGGCAUAGAUGAGGAAGCAAGAAUGUUCACUUUUCUUCUCAAACCGUCUGUCCUUCAGCUUUCAUCCACGCUAUUAACUGGUCUCUUUCCUCACUACUCCUGGAGCAAGGAGACAGGACCAGAAAAGGGAGUGGGGGUUGGGGCAUUUUUCAGGGCUCUAUUAUUUUAGCUGCUGCUCACGGAUUGCUGUUAUUCAGUCAAAAAUACAAGCCAGGAGACGCGAACGCCCCAAGCAGAGCCUUGGAAAGAUGGGCAAAUGCUCUGUGACAAGCCACCAGGGUAGACUGGUACUGAAAAGACCCUACUACACACAGGGGCUCUGUCCCUGGCUGGAAAGUUACAAGUCAGCCUACCUCUCUGUGAUCUGGUUUCCACACCUACUACUCUUUAUCCCAUGAGGAGCUUCUGGAAACUAAAAUAGCAGCUGCCCAGGUAGAAGAGUGUUGACCAAAGGACACAUCACCAGCACAGACUGUUAAUCAUGUGACUAGAGAAAACUCUCAUGGUGGCAUUCAAAUUUCCAUAUCCUUCUUCUAUGGAAAUUUCUGAGAGACCCAGAAAAGAAGCGUAACGACGAGGGAAAGUGAUUCCUGCAGACCUGAACAUUCCAGACUUACCAGGUGAUCCAGCUGUCUGUCAGCGGGAAGAGGCUGAGGCGCCCCCUUCUGGUGCAUCUGAAUAGUAAGAAACCCUGUGUAGAAAGAAACCCUGUAGCAAUUGGGCACCUUCUCCGUGAUCUGUCUGCUUCCAAUACCAAAAAUUGUUGCUUUUUAAAUGACAUCCAUCCUAAGCUUAAAAAAGACGCAUAUUAUUUGUAUAAAAUGUUGAAGACGCAGAACAAAAAAUGUAAAUCACAUGUAAUCAUCCCUUCCAGAAAUAAUCGUUAUUAAAAUUUCUGUGUAUGUGUAAAAAAAAAAAUUGCAAUCCUACUGUAAUAUAAUCCUGUAUACUGAUAUUUUUCACCUAUCACUGUAUGUUGAGCAUUUUCAAUAGUCAAAUUAUUUCUUGAAAAUAUUAAUGACUGGGGAGUAACCUUUCAAAUAGGUGUGUCUUUAUUUUUAAACCAGUCCACAAUUAUUGUAUAUUGAAGUCAUUUCCCAAAUUUUGUAAGUAUAAGUAUUGCAUCCAUCCUUAUAUGUAUUUAAAUGCAUCUCUUAUUAUUUCCUUGAGAUAAGUUCCUAGAAGUGGAAUCACUGGAUUUAAAAAUGUGGACAUAUUUAUGCCAGACGCGGUGGGUCAUGCCUGUAAUCCCAGCACUUUGGGAGACUGAAGCAGGUGGAUCACUUGAGGUCAGGAGUUCAAGACCAGCCUGGCCAACAUAGUGAAACCCCAUCUCUACUAAAAUUACAAAAAUUAGCCGGGUGUGGUAGUGCACGCCUGUAAUCCCAGCUACUCAGGAGGCUGAGGCAUAAGAAUCACUUGAACUCAGGAGGCGGAGGUUGCAGUGAGCCAAGAUGGCACCACUGCGCUCCAGUCUGGGCGACAGAGUAAGACUUCAUCUCAAAAAUAAAUAAAUAAAAUUAAAAUUAAAUAAGAUAAAUAAAAAAUAAAAAUGUGGACAUAUUUAAAUCUUCAUAUAUAUUACCAAAUGCCCUCCUGAAAGUUUUUACCUGUUACAUUCCAACCAAUAGUGUAAGGGCAUGACUCUUUCCCUGUGUUUUGGGAUGGAUGUUAUCAAAGUUCUCUCCCACCCAGGCCAAGUAUGGUAUAUGCUUUGAUUUAAUUUGAAUUUUUAAAUUAUUAUUUAAAAUGGACAUUUUGUUGUCCAUUUGAACAACUUUCUUUUGAGUCACUGUUCAUGUUCUUUGCCCAUUGUUUCUCUUUUAUUAGUAAGAACCCUAUUGUCAUUUUUAUAUUUUAAAUAAAAUUUCAUUGUAUAUACAUUUAUAUUAUCUAUAGUAAAGUAUAUUUUAUUAUUAAUGAGAACUUU
rnacentral:lncRNA from 1 species